rnacentral:rRNA from 1 species
GACGAACGCUGGCGGCGUGCCUAAUACAUGCAAGUAGAACGCUGAAGAGAGGAGCUUGCUCUUCUUGGAUGAGUUGCGAACGGGUGAGUAACGCGUAGGUAACCUGCCUUGUAGCGGGGGAUAACUAUUGGAAACGAUAGCUAAUACCGCAUAACAAUGGAUGACACAUGUCAUUUAUUUGAAAGGGGCAAUUGCUCCACUACAAGAUGGACCUGCGUUGUAUUAGCUAGUAGGUGAGGUAAUGGCUCACCUAGGCGACGAUACAUAGCCGACCUGAGAGGGUGAUCGGCCACACUGGGACUGAGACACGGCCCAGACUCCUACGGGAGGCCGCAGUAGGGAAUCUUCGGCAAUGGGGGCAACCCUGACCGAGCAACGCCGCGUGAGUGAAGAAGGUUUUCGGAUCGUAAAGCUCUGUUGUAAGUCAAGAACGGGUGUGAGAGUGGAAAGUUCACACUGUGACGGUAGCUUACCAGAAAGGGACGGCUAACUACGUG